CCUACGGGCGGCUGCAGUAAGGAAUAUUGGUCAAUGGAGGAAACUCUGAACCAGCCAUCCCGCGUGAAGGAUGAAGGGGCUCUGCCUUGUAAACUUCUUUUGUCUGGGGCGAAAAAGCUCGAUUUAUCGAGAACUGACGGUACCAGAAGAAUAAGCACCGGCUAACUCCGUGCCAGCAGCCUCGGUAAUACGGAGGGUGCAAGCGUUAUCGGGAAUCACUGGUGUUUAAGGGUGCGUAGACGGCUUUGGAGAAAGGAUGUGGCUUAACUAUGGAAUUGCCAUUGAUACUGCAGAGCUUGAAUGAGGUUGAGGUUGGCGGAAUGUGACAUGUAGCGGUGAAAUGCUUAGAUAUGUCAUGGAACACCGAUUGCGAAGGCAGCUGACUGGACCUAUAUUGACGCUGAGGCACGAAAGCGUGGGGAGCGAACAGGAUUAGAUACCCUAGUAGUC
rnacentral:rRNA from 1 species